AGAGUUUGAUCCUGGCUCAGGACGAACGCUGGCGGCGUGCUUAACACAUGCAAGUGGAGCGACGAACCGGGGCUUGCCCCGGGGCAGAGCCGCGAACGGGUGAGUAACACGUGGGUAACCUACCCCGAUGACCGGGACAACCCGAGGAAACUCGGGCUAAUACCGGAUGUGCUCCUUGACUUCGAGGUCAAGGCGUAAAGAUAGCUUCGGCCUUCGCAUCGGGACGGGCCCGCGGCCCAUUAGCUUGUUGGUGGGGUAACGGCCUACCAAGGCGACGAUGGGUAGCUGGUCUGAGAGGACGAUCAGCCACACUGGGACUGAGACACGGCCCAGACUCCUACGGGAGGCAGCAGUGGGGAAUCUUGCACAAUGCGCGAAAGCGUGAUGCAGCAACGCCGCGUGGGGGAAGACGGCCUUCGGGUUGUAAACCCCUUUCAGUUGGGACGAAGCUUCGUCGGUGAAUAGCCGGCUGGAGUGACGGUACCUUCACAAGAAGCCCCGGCUAACUACGUGCCAGCCGCGGCGGUAAUAC
rnacentral:rRNA from 1 species